UAUUCCCCACUGCUGCCUCCCGUAGGAGUCUGGGCCGUGUCUCAGUCCCAGUGUGGCCGUCCGCCCUCUCAGGCGGGCUACGCAUCGUCGACUUGGUGGGCCGUUGCCCCGCCAACAAGCUAAUGCGCCACAGGCCCAUCCUUCAGCCGUCCCCUAAAGGACGUUUAACGUGGACGGGAUGUCCCGUCCGCGCCUAUGCGGUCUUAGCAGCCGUUUCCAGCUGUUGUCCCCCUCUGAAGGGCAGGUUGCCCAUGUGCUACUCACCCGUUCGCCACUGAGCGCCGAAGCGCUCCGUCCGACUUGCAUGUAUUAGGCACGCCGCCAGCGUUCAUCCUGAGCCA
rnacentral:rRNA from 1 species